UCAGCUCUCUUUGCCUUCUGGCUUAGAUCAAGUGUAGUAUCUGUUAUUUUCAGUUUAAUAUCUGAAACUGCUCCAACGGAGCAGAAUCUUGAUUAUCAUAAUAUUUUUUUUUAUCUCGGCUAACUGUCCUCUGGGCAUGCCCAUGACGGUUGGCCACAGUGUCCCUGGUCUUACACUGCCUCCAGGUGAUGCGAACCCUUU
rnacentral:snRNA from 1 species